rnacentral:lncRNA from 1 species
NNNNNNNNNNNNNNNNNNNNNNNNNNNNNNNNNNNNNNNNNNNNNNNNNNNNNNNNNNNNNNNNNNCCGCUGCGGCCCUGAGGUCCCCGUGCGUCGCGGACACGGUCCCCGAGGCGCUUCCGAGGCUGCACGGCGGGCACAGCGCGCGUUCCCCCCCGCGUCAUUCCCGGACCCGCCUCGGCCCUGCCGGGCAGCGGGGGCCGGUUCACAGACGACCCGACAGCCUUGUCCAGGGUUCGCAGUGAGGUCUGGCCGCGGCCACCUGCGAGGGCUGCGGGGUGUCCCCACCCACCGCCCCAGACCUCACGUUAGCCACGAGCCCUGGCGCAGCUCCCGGGACUGCCCGGAAAACAUCGGUGAGAGGGGUGCACCCACCGCACCUGUCUGGGACCCCGUCCCCUCGGGCGGAAUCCGCUCCUGCCCCUGCUGUGAGGACCUCUCGCUGCUGCUCAGAAUUCCCGGGGUUAGAACGGACACCGGAGGGAUCCCAUUUCCAAGUCCUCGAACAGGUAUAGAGCCAGGAAAAGCGACUCAUCCUGCGAGGCAGGUCGGUGGGACUCAGAUUUUAUUUGUAGGAACGCCUGGGUGGCUCCAUCGGUGAAGUAUCUGCCUUCGGCUCAUGUCACGAUCCUGGGGUCCUCGAUCAACCCCCACAUCAGGCUCCCUGCUCAGUGUGGGGUCUGCUUCUCCCUCUGCCUGCCGCUCCUUUCUGCUUGUGCUCCCUCUCUCUUGCUCGCUCACUCUGUCUCUCUCAAAUAAAAUCUUUUUAAAAAGUUAAAGAUUUUAUUUGUAAGUGAUCUUAACACCCAAGGUGGGGCUUGAACUCACAACCCCAAGAUUGCUUGCUCUAGCGACUAAGCCAGCCAGGUGCCUCAAGGGCAUGACUUUUAAAGUCUACUAAAUACACAGAACAAGGCUUGCCCCUGAGGACGAAAGUGCACUCCUGUGGGCUCCACCUCCGCCAGCCUCCUCUCCGCCACCACCAGCUCCGUUCUCCUGGUCACACUUGGUAGGGAUGUAGGGCCUGACUUACUGCUGGGCCUUGAGAGCCACUCCAGGCAGGUCAUGGGGGUUGGCUUGGUGCCACACGGCUCAGGCUGGAACCAUGACACCAUCAGGAAACACAGGUGAUUGACCCGGGCCUGGGGACCAACCGCUUUGUUGGAGGCUCGCUGGCUAGUCUUCUCAUGCCCCCAUACCCCCGACUCCUCAGUUCUCACACAAUGGGGCCUGGCUGCGUUUAUAGGCGGUAGAUGACAGAGGCUGACUUACCCAUUGUGCUGCUGCCUGCUCCUUCUCCCCAAGGAGGCUUCUACUCUUGGCAAGGUGUCUCUUCCUCCCCACUGGGAACACACCCGGCCACUGGGAAGAGGGGACAGGCAGGCGGGAGGUUGUGCCUAUCCCGGGCCACCAGAGAGGUCAAUGAGAAGUGCACUGGGGCCCAGCUCACCUGGAGGCCAGCGAGAGUGCGGAUGUGAGGACUGCUUCCCGCUUACAGGUGGCCCUGGGCCCUAAGGUCAGCCCUCUGGACAUGCGAUGGGGGGGGCUAGGCUGCCCACCUUCUACUCUCUGGGACCUGUGGGGAGAGGAAUGUUCCAGACCGCCCAGGCUCCUUCGCUGCCCUCUCACCCCACUCUUCUGCAGAGGUGCGGAGAGUUUGCAAACAAGGUUUCGAUCUGCUGCAGAGUAACGGGCAGCGGGUCUGUUUGCACAUCUGUGGGAGGUCCUCAGGGAUGAGGUUGUGCCCUGUCCAAACACCCAGAGAGCCUAGCCUUCAGGAUCUGUCUCUGGGUCCAGCUAGAG